AACACUGUUAACCUGCGGUACCUGCGGAAGGAUCAUUACCGAGUGUGAACCCCCCCGUAAAAAAGAGGGGUUACCUCCCGUCCUUUGCUGGGAACCCCUUUCCAACUUGGAAGGAGGUUGUUUUCAGACCCUUCUGCUUCGGUGGGGUAACCCACCGGAACAACCUCAAAAAUAUUCUCAAUUCAAAACCGUUCAGUCCGAGAACUUUUUUGAAAAGCGAAAAAACUUUCAACAAUGGAU
rnacentral:misc_RNA from 1 species